rnacentral:rRNA from 1 species
AUUGAACGCUGGCGGCAGGCCUAACACAUGCAAGUCGAGCGGAUGAAGGGAGCUUGCUCCUGGAUUCAGCGGCGGACGGGUGAGUAAUGCCUAGGAAUCUGCCUGGUAGUGGGGGAUAACGUCCGGAAACGGGCGCUAAUACCGCAUACGUCCUGAGGGAGAAAGUGGGGGGUCUUCGGACCUCACGCUCUCAGAUGAGCCUAGGUGGGAUUAGCUAGUUGGUGGGGUAAAGGGCUACCAAGGCGACGAUCCGUAACUGGUCUGAGAGCAUGACCACAUAGCCUGGAGGUGAGGCACGUUCGAGACUCCUGCAGGAGGCAGCAGUGGGGAAUACUGGAGGAUGGGCUAAAGCUUUAUCCAGCCAUACCGCGGGUGUCAAGAAGGUCUUCGGGUUGUAGAGUACUUCAAGUUGGGAGGAAGGCCAGUAAGUUAAUACCGUGCUUUUUUGACGUUACCAACAGAAUAAGCACCGGCUAACUUCGUG